CACCGACUCAGCACAAGUAAAAAAGAAAUAUAAGAAACUCAUUGUGGACUCAAACAAAAAGAACCUAGUUUGUGGAACUCUUUUACUUUUAACUGAAAGUAACUUACCGUAUAGCUUUUAUGAAAGUUCUGCAUGUAAAAUUUUAUUGGGACCGCUUUACGAGGCUGCCAGUAUGACCCUGAACAGAAAGGCUAUUUCAGAUCUCAUUGACAAAAGCUCGAUACUGGCUAGAAAUUUUAUUAAAAACGAAAUGUCUUAAUAAAAUUUCUAGCCAGUACGCUACGCGAGGUAAUCGUCAGGUGUUAGGCAUAAAUGCUCAAUAUUAUCAUAAUAAUAAAGUUGUUGUUCGAAAUCUUGCAGUUCAAGAGAUACAUAGCCGCCAGACAAAAGAAAAUUUAAAAGACGUUAUAAUGAAUACUCUGGCCGAAUAUAGUGUAAAUAUGAAACAGGUUUACUCCAUUGCUCACGAUAAUGGCAGUAAUAUGGUGGCGACUGUUAAGGUAUUGAAGGAAAUGCUGGAAAAAUCUAGCUUGGAAAACCCCUCAAUCAACUUGCUAGUAGCUAAUGAAGAAGUGCGUUACAUUUUCGAGCUACCUGAUUAGAUGCAAAAUGCUGAACGUUUCGAGAGCAUUGAGAUAGACAAUUGUAGCACAACAUCAGAUGAUACUGUACAAUGUGACGAUUUCAGUGAAGAUAAGCAGGAGGAAACAAAAUUCAUUUUAUCAAACAUUGACGAUGGUGAAUGCUGGCGAAUGGAAGAAAUUCUCGACAGUACACGAUGCGCCGCUCAUACAGCACAAUUAGCUGUGUGGGAUGUUGUAAAACCCUAUCAAGAACGAAUCACAAAAAUACAAAAGAUUGUAGUCAAAUUGCGGCAUCGCGAGUACCAAAAAAUAUUUAAAAUCUACAAUGCUCAUCUGCCUCCUAUUGCUAACGAUACUAGAUGGAAUAGCAAAUAUCUGAUGUUGUCAUCUCUUCUCAAUCAUCGUCAGUUUUUCAAUUUGCUGAAAACUGUUUUUCCGGAGACAGAUCUUACAUCACAUUGGCCAUUUAUUGAGAAAUUCCGCGACGCAUUCGAACCAGCAUUCGUUCUUACGCUGUAGCUGCAGAAAAUUCAUUGUCCGCUAUCAGAUUUUUACAUAUACUGGCUUCAGUGCCAAGCACAACUGGAUAAAAUGAAAUCAAAUGUACUCGCAAAGCGUUUAUUGGCAGCAUUUAAAACUUACACUGAGCCAAAUUUUCUUUUUCACAUUAUAUGAUAUUCUAAUGAUUUUGCACUAUUAGCAUUUCCAAUAAUAGUUACAAGAUGUGUUCAACAUCAUGUCAAAUAUAUGAGAUAUUCUUAUGAAACAUAAAACUCUUCUUAACAUUAUUGUUACAGGAUUUCCAUAUAACGAAUGAAAUUUCCAGUCUGAGUCAAAUUUAUUGGCGCGUCUUAUAACCUUUACUAGAUAUCCGCACAACAUACAUACACAACUUACACAAUUAUAAAGCGCAUAUUAUAUUCACUUCGAAUUUAUUUAGAUAGGUU